GGUGAUUGAAAUGGAUAGCCAAAGGCAAAAGAAGAAAAAUUCCACACCUAUGGGAAAUAAAAAUUAUAACAGGAUUAUAGCCCAAGGAAAAAGGAACCCCAAAAUGAAGGAUUGACAUCCAGCUGCAGGCUAAUAGGAAAGUGUUAACAUAUCAACAGCCAGGAACCCCACACUUUACCUUCAGGAUCAAGAGGGAACGCCGACUGGCUUCAAUCAAAAAGGGCAGGUCUUGCCAUGGAACCAAAUGAGCCACACACACAAGGCACAACCCAAUCCAACAGGAAACAGGCCAUAACCAGGGCAAAGGCUUCACCGAUGGUGACAGUAGAUGAUGAUGGACCCUCCGCUGAACUAUCCGCCCGUACGCGUAUGUCUGUUUACAGCACAAUCGGCUUGCGUUGAUGGGGGCUAGAAAAACCCCUAUUCCUUAACCACCAAAGCUACCUACAAUCAGCUAACCCUAGGCGCUUCUUUCACACAAAUAUAGAGCACUGAAACAAAAGGCGCCUCCCACGAUGACUGGAGCGGUGAUGGUGACUGGACGUGUUAGGUGACCGACUGGGUGUUUAUAUAGUUGUUGAUUAUGUUCGUAUUUCGUAUGUGUAAUUAGUUCAUUAGCUUGUAGGUAUUUAGCCUUUUUUCAUGGGUUUAUAGAUAUUUAGGUUGUAAGUCCUUAAAAAAAUUUAACUCUAAAAAAAAAACAAAGGAAAAUCAGUUGCCUCUCUCUUCUUCUCUCUUGAAGUUGCCUCUCUCUUCUUCUUCCAGGGCAAAGGCUUGACCGAUGGUGACAGUAGAUGAUGAUGGACCCUCCGCUGAACUAUCCGCCCGUACGCGUAUGUCUGUUUGCAGUUGUGUUAAUUUUUUGAAGAAGACAGCACAAUCGGCUUGCGUUAAUGGGGGCUAGAAAACCCCCUAUUCCUCAACCACCAAAGCUACCUACAAUCAGCUAACCCUAGGCGCUUCAUUCACACAAAUAUAGAGCACUGAAACAAAAGGCGCCUCCCACGAUGACUGGAGCGGUGAUGGUGACUGGACGUGUUAGGUGACCGACUGGGUGUUUAUAUAGUUGUUGAUUAUGUUCGUAUUUCGUAUGUUUAAUUAGUUCAUUAGCUUGUAGGUAUUUAGCCUUUUUUCAUGGGUUUAUAGAUAUUUAUUUAUUUCCUCCGGUUUUUUAAUUAAUAUGCAACCAUAAAGUUUUUUUUUUACUUUAGAUUGUAUGUCUUUAGUUUAUUUAUCUUUUCAAUUAGUUUGUAAACCUUAUACUUUCACUUUAGCUCGUAAGAUUUUAGGUUAUUUAUCUUUUAAAUUCACAUUAAGAUUCAAGCGACACACACGUCCAUCCAGCUCCAAUUUUCGAAUCCAAGAGAAAAUAAAAAGCACAGGAAAUCAUCCAUUUUUCAAAAAUUUCCUGUCAUGGCCCUUU
rnacentral:sRNA from 1 species